rnacentral:piRNA from 1 species
GAAAACAGAACAAGAAAGUAUGAGGACGAAU